AGCAGCCGCGGUAAUUCCAGCUCCGAUAGCGUAUAUUAAAGUUGUUGCAGUUAAAAAGCUCGUAGUUGAAUUUCGGGAUCAAUAUGUCGGUCGUGCUUCGGUACGUACUGGUGUUAUUGGUUUCUCCCUUCUGAAGAACCACGAUGUCAUUAAUUUGGUGUCGUGGGGAAUCAGGACUGUUACUUUGAAAAAAUUAGAGUGUUUAAAGCAGGCUCGCGCUUGAAUACAUUGGCAUGGAAUAAUGAAAUAGGACGUUUGAUUCUAUUUUGUUGGUUUCUAGGAUCGACGUAAUGAUUAAUAGGGAUAGUUGGGGGCAUUAGUAUUCAAUUGUCAGAGGUGAAAUUCUUGGAUUUAUUGAAGACUAACUACUGCGAAAGCAUUUGCCAAGGAUGUUUUCAUUAAUCAAGAACGAAAGUUAGGGGAUCGAAGACGAUCAGAUACCGUCGUAGUCUUAACCAUAAACUAUGCCGACUAGGGAUCGGAUGAUGUUAAUUUUUAAUGACUCAUUCGGCGCCUUAAC
rnacentral:rRNA from 1 species